rnacentral:misc_RNA from 1 species
UCAAACUUGGUCAUUUAGAGGAAGUAAAAGUCGUAACAAGGUUUCCGUAGGUGAACCUGCGGAAGGAUCAUUAACGAGUUAGGGUUCCGCUUUAAGGGCCCGACCUCCCAACCCUUUGUCUACCGAACCUAUUUUAUGAAGACGCUCUCGGCGGGUUCGCGCCCGCCGACGGCGAAUUCUUAAACUCUUGACCAGUUAAAAAUCUUAACUAUAAAAAACUUUCAACAACGGAUCUCUUGGUUCUGGCAUCGAUGAAGAACGCAGC